GAUGAGCGCUGGCGGCGUGCUUAACACAUGCAAGUCGAACGGAAAGGCUCCUGCUUGCAGGGGUACUCGAGUGGCGAACGGGUGAGUAACACGUGUGUUAUCUGCCCUGCACUUUCGGAUAAGCCUGGGUAACUGGGUUUAAUCCCGGAUAGGACCCCAUUUUGGGUUGUGUGGUGGAAAGUUUUUGGGGGUGGGAUGAUCUUGGGGCCUAUCAGCUUGUUGGUGGGGUAAUGGCCUACCAAGGCGUCGACGGGUAGCCGGCCUGAGAGGGUGUACGGCCACAUUGGGACUGAGAUACGGCCCAGACUCCUACGGGAGGCAGCAGUGGGGAAUAUUGCACAAUGGGCGCAAGCCUGAUGCAGCGACGCCGCGUGGGGGAUGACGGCCUUCGGGUUGUAAACUCCUUUCGCUAGGGACGAAGCGCAAGUGACGGUACCUGGAGAAGAAGCACCGGCUAACUACGUG
rnacentral:rRNA from 1 species